rnacentral:rRNA from 1 species
GAUGAACGCUGACGGAAUGCUUAACACAUGCAAGUCGAUGGGGAAGUGGUGCUUGCACCAUGGUAACCAUGGCGGACGGGUGAGUAACGCGUAAGGAACUUGCCUGCGGGACUGGGAUAACAGCAGGAAACUGCUGAUAAUACCGGAUAAGGUCAUUAAGCUGCAUAGCUUAGUGAUGAAAGGAGACGCCUGCGGAGAGCCUUGCGUCCUAUUAGCUAGUUGGAGGGGUAACGGCCCACCAAGGCGAAGAUAGGUAGCCGGCCUGAGAGGGUGGACGGCCACAAGGGGACUGAGGUACGGCCCUUACUCCUACGGGAGGCAGCAGUGGGGAAUAUUGGACAAUGGGGGCAACCCUGAUCCAGCAAUUCUGUGUGCACGAAGACGGUUUUCGGAUUGUAAAGUGCUUUCAGCAGGGAAGAAGGAAGUGACGGUACCUGCAGAAGAAGCGACGGCUAAAUACGUG